rnacentral:rRNA from 1 species
UACGUAGGGGGCAAGCGUUGUCCGGAAUUAUUGGGCGUAAAGAGCGCGUAGGCGGUCCGAUAAGUCGGCUGUGAAAGUCAGGGGCUCAACCCUUGGAAGCCGGCCGAUACUGUCGGACUAGAGUCCGGAAGAGGCGAGUGGAAUUCCUGGUGUAGCGGUGAAAUGCGCAGAUAUCAGGAGGAACACCAAUGGCGAAGGCAGCUCGCUGGGACGGUACUGACGCUAAGGCGCGAAAGCGUGGGGAGCGAACAGG